rnacentral:sRNA from 1 species
AACAUUUUUUAAGUGAAUGUUGCGAAUGUCGCCUUUUGCAACGUUUAUUUAGUGUUGCAAAACUUUUUAUUUUUGCAACGUUUAUCAAACGUUGCGAAAAACAUUUUUCGCAACGUUUAUCAGAUGUUGUGAAAGAUCAUUUUU